UCGAGGAUAUUUAGCAAUGGGCGAAAGCCUGACUAUGUGACGCCGCGUGAGGGAUGAAGGUCUUCGGAUUGUAAACCUCUUUCGAUGGGGAAGAAAAUCCCCGACUUAACAUCGGGGACUGACGGUACCUAGAGAAGAAGCCAUGGCUAACUCUGUGCCAGCAGCCGCGGUAAUACAGAGAUGGCGAGCGUUACUCGGAUUUAUUGGGUGUAAAGGGCAGGUAGGCGGCUAUGCAAGUUGGGGGUGAAAUCCUGUGGCUCAACCACAGAACUGCCUUCAAAACUGCAUGGCUUGAGGCUAGAAGAGGAGAGCGGAAUUCCCGGUGUAAGAGUGAAAUCUGUAGAUAUCGGGAGGAACACCAGUGGCGCAAGCGGCUCUCUGGUCUGGCCCUGACGCUGAUCUGCGAAAGCUAGGGGAGCAAACAGG
rnacentral:rRNA from 1 species